CAUAGGUUAAUGAGGCGAACCGGGGGAACUGAAACAUCUAAGUACCCCGAGGAAAAGAAAUCAACCGAGAUUCCCCCAGUAGCGGCGAGCGAACGGGGAGCAGCCCAGAGCCUGAAUCAGUGUGUGUGUUAGUGGAAGCGUCUGGAAAGGCGCGCGAUACAGGGUGACAGCCCCGUACACAAAAAUGCACAUGCUGUGAGCUCGAUGAGUAGGGCGGGACACGUGGUAUCCUGUCUGAAUAUGGGGGGACCAUCCUCCAAGGCUAAAUACUCCUGACUGACCGAUAGUGAACCAGUACCGUGAGGGAAAGGCGAAAAGAACCCCGGCGAGGGGAGUGAAAAAGAACCUGAAACCGUGUACGUACAAGCAGUGGGAGCACAGAGCAAUCUGUGUGACUGCGUACCUUUUGUAUAAUGGGUCAGCGACUUAUAUUCUGUAGCAAGGUUAACCGAAUAGGGGAGCCGAAGGGAAACCGAGUCUUAACUGGGCGUUAAGUUGCAGGGUAUAGACCCGAAACCCGGUGAUCUAGCCAUGGGCAGGUUGAAGGUUGGGUAACACUAACUGGAGGACCGAACCGACUAAUGUUGAAAAAUUAGCGGAUGACUUGUGGCUGGGGGUGAAAGGCCAAUCAAACCGGGAGAUAGCUGGUUCUCCCCGAAAGCUAUUUAGGUAGCGCCUCGUGAAUUCAUCUCCGGG
rnacentral:rRNA from 1 species